rnacentral:rRNA from 1 species
AAGAAACUAACAAGGAUUCCCGUAGUAACGGCGAGUGAACUGGGAUCAGUCCAGCGCUGAAUCGCUGUGUCUUUGGCACAGCGAAAUGUAGCGUAUAUACGGUGCGCGUGGCUUUGGCCAUCGGUUUAACUUUCCCUUGACUGGGGCUCCAAAGAAGGUGAAAGACCUGUACAACCGGUGGACUUUGUCAUCUGCUCUGUCUUGGAGUCGGGUUGUUUGGGAUCGCAGCCCAAAGAAGGUGGUAAACUUCAUCUAAGACUAAAUAUGACUACGAGACCGAUAGCAAACAAGUACCGUGAGGGAAAGUUGCAAAGCACUUUGAAGAGAGAGUUAAAGAGGACGUGAAACCGGUAAGAUGGAAACGGAUAGAGCUAGCGUAUCUAGCUUGUAUUCAGCCGCCCUGGUUUGGGAGCCCUGUCUGCUGGUCCGGAAUCGGCCAGUUGGCGGGUGUCUCUCGGGUCUUGGUGGUGCAAUUGCAAGUGGAGUGCGCUGAGGCCUGUGGGUCAGCGGUUGGAAGUGCGCUUUGAGGAUACCCUUCGGGGUAAAACCCGGGCGUGCCUAAGACUGUUUGGCCUGCUUGUACAAUGAGCGAGGCCAACGGGUUUGGCUGGGGCUGAGCUGGUCGCCGGUUACGGUCGCAUGCGACACGUGCUGGUGACUGGUUUGGUCUGGGUCUUGCUCCCUCGCUCGCCCUCGGUGUAAAAGCUAGUCAUCUAUCCGACCCGUCUUGAAACACGGACCAAGGAGUUUAGCGUAUACGCGAGUCAUUGAGUGAAAAACUCAAAGGCGCAAUGAAAGUAAAGGCAUCCCUUGUGGAGCUGAUAUGCGACCUCGGGUGCUUCGGUGCCCGGGAGCAGCAUAGCCCCGUCCCGAUCGCUUGCGAUGGGGCGGAGGUAGAGCGUGUUCGCUGAGACCCGAAAGAUGGUGAACUAUUCCUGAGCAGGAUGAAGCCAGUGGAAACACUGGUGGAAGUCCGAAGCGAUUCUGACGUGCAAAUCGAUCGCCUGACUUGGGUAUAGGGGCGAAAGACUAAUCGAACCAUCUAGUAGCUGGUUCCCUCUGAAGUUUCCCCCAGGAUAGCUGGAGCCUGGUGAUGUAGUUAUACUCGGUAAAGCGAACGAUUAGAGGACUUGGGGUCGAAAUGAUCUUAACCUAUUCUCAAACUCUAAAUGGGUAUGAAGCCGGAGUUUCUUGAUUGAACUCUAGCGUUGAAUACAGGCUCCAAGUGGGCCAUUUUUGGUAAGCAGAACUGG